AGCGAACGCUGGCGGCAUGCUUAACACAUGCAAGUCGCACGGGCAGCAAUGUCAGUGGCGGACGGGUGAGUAACGCGUAGGAACGUGUCCUGAGGUGGGGGACAACCCCGGGAAACUGGGGCUAAUACCGCAUAUGGGCUGAGGCCCAAAGCCGAGAGGCGCCUUUGGAGCGGCCUGCGUCCGAUUAGGUAGUUGGUGGGGUAAAGGCCUACCAAGCCUGCGAUCGGUAGCUGGUCUGAGAGGACGACCAGCCACACUGGGACUGAGACGCGGCCCAGACUCCUACGGGAGGCAGCAGUGGGGAAUAUUGGACAAUGGGCGAAAGCCUGAUCCAGCAAUGCCGCGUGGGUGAAGAAGGUCUUCGGAUCGUAAAGCCCUUUCGACGGGGACGAUGAUGACGGUACCCGUAGAAGAAGCCCCGGCUAACUUCGUG
rnacentral:rRNA from 1 species